rnacentral:rRNA from 1 species
GGUAUAGACCCGAAACCCGGUGAUCUAGCCAUGGGCAGGUUGAAGGUUGGGUAACACUAACUGGAGGACCGAACCGACUAAUGUUGAAAAAUUAGCGGAUGACUUGUGGCUGGGGGUGAAAGGCCAAUCAAACCGGGAGAUAGCUGGUUCUCCCCGAAAGCUAUUUAGGUAGCGCCUCGUGAACUCAUCUUCGGGGGUAGAGCACUGUUUCGGCU